rnacentral:rRNA from 1 species
UACGUAGGGUGCGAGCGUUGUCCGGAAUUAUUGGGCGUAAAGAGCUUGUAGGCGGUCUGUCGCGUCUGCUGUGAAAAUCCGGGGCUCAACCCCGGACUUGCAGUGGGUACGGGCAGACUAGAGUGUGGUAGGGGAGACUGGAAUUCCUGGUGUAGCGGUGAAAUGCGCAGAUAUCAGGAGGAACACCGAUGGCGAAGGCGGCACUCUGGGCCGGUACUGACGCUGAGGAGCGAAAGCGUGGGGAGCGAACAGG